UAUAAUCAGUCAAUCAAUUUGUUCAACCAACACCUAAGUAAAUAAUUGCUGAGUAACUUCAGGUUGAUAUAGAAAACCUUCAUUCUAAUUCAGGACUACGACAUAACAUAACAAGAUAUCCACCUAAUAUGAAGGAAAGUUCCAUCUUUUAAUUGGACCUUCUAAGUUGAAUUUCUGCAUCCGUCCCUCACCCACCCUUCCUUUUUGAGCAUUUUUAACGGCCUCUAUGAUGGCUAGGAAUUU
rnacentral:misc_RNA from 1 species